rnacentral:rRNA from 1 species
GAUAGAGCAUUGUAAUUAUUGCUCUUCAACGAGGAAUUCCUAGUAAGCGCAAGUCAUCAGCUUGCGUUGAUUACGUCCCUGCCCUUUGUACACACCGCCCGUCGCUAGUACCGAUUGAAUGGCUUAGUGAGGCCUC